AGAACGAACGCUGGCGGCAGGCUUAACACAUGCAAGUCGAGCGGGUAGCAAUACCAGCGGCAGACGGGUGAGUAACACGUGGGAACCUUCCUAGAGGUACGGAACAACGCAGGGAAACGUUAGCGCUAAUAACCGUAUGUGCUCUUGCGAGGAAAGAUUUAUUCGCCUUUAGUACGGGCCCGCGUCGGAUUAGCUAGUUGGUGGGGUAAGUGGCCUACCAAGGCAACGAUCCGUAGCUGAUCUGAGAGGAUGAUCAGCCACACUGGAACUGAGACACGGUCCAGACUCCUACGGGAGGCAGCAGUGGGGAAUCUUGGACAAUGGGCGCAAGCCUGAUCCAGCCAUGCCGCGUGAGUGAAGAAGGCCUUCGGGUUGUAAAGCUCUUUUGUCAGGGACGAUAAUGACGGUACCUGAAGAAUAAGCCCCGGCAAACUUCGUGCCAGCAGCCGC
rnacentral:rRNA from 1 species